rnacentral:rRNA from 1 species
UACGUAGGGGGCAAGCGUUGUCCGGAUUUAUUGGGCGUAAAGAGCGUGUAGGCGGUCUGGUAGGUCCGUUGUGAAAACUCGAGGCUCAACCUCGAGACGCCGAUGGAAACCCUCAGACUAGAGUCCGGAAGAGGAGAGUGGAAUUCCUGGUGUAGCGGUGAAAUGCGUAGAGAUCUGGAGGAAUACCGGUGGCGAAGGCGGCCCCCUGGACAAAGACUGACGCUCAGGUGCGAAAGCGUGGGGAGCAAACAGG